rnacentral:tRNA from 1 species
GGGAAUGUAGCUCAGUGGUAGAGCACUGGCCUAGGAUAUGUGAGGCCCUGGGUUCAAUCCCCAGUAUUACAA